UACGAUUUUAAAACGCUUAUGUUAGGGAGAGGUUUCCACACCCUUAUAAGUAAUGUUUCGUUUCCUUCUCAACGGAGGUCGGAUCUCAUACCCCAUUUGUUGGGAUUUUUCCAUCUAUGAAUUGCCAUUGAAACCAUUACUGUGAUGCAUUUUAGGACUUCUCCUCAUACCGCUCCUUUAAUUUUUCGUAUCUUUCUUUGGAUUCAUAGAGAUUCCGUGUCCUCCCAAAUGCUUUGAAUCUAUAAGACCUCCAACCAUUCACGGUUGGGCCGACAAAACUUGUCCACUUCUUUGAUGGAAUCUUCAUCCAUCCCUUUAAAAGAAGGUGGCUGACAACGACACCCAAUUGAAUCAUUAAACCACUUGCACUGCCCGCUAUAGUUAAAUUCUGUAAUGGAGAUGCGUUGUCUUCCCAUACAAGGCAAAACACUAAGCAAAUUGAUCAUUUUCCCUCCCCUUCCCUAUCUCAGGCUGCUCCACUGUUCUAAUACCCGUGAGAGUCCUACAAGCCUUACAACUUCACUACGACAGAAUGGACAACGAGACAAGAGAAAAGAUCACUGGCUUCACAGCUUUAAGAGAAGCUGCGGCUAGUGCCAGAACAACAAAGUCACAUACCGAUAAGACAAGUCAUCUGGAAGCGACAGCGGCGGUGGAGGCGGCGACGACGGCGGCGAGCAGCCAAAUCGACGUGGGUCUUCCUCAAGAAUGGACGUACUGAAAAAUAGCUUCACCAAUCCACGAGAGGGCAUUUAGAUGAAAUCCUUGGGUAAUAAUUUUCCGUUAGGGGCAAAACCGUAAAUAAUGUUUGGGAAAUUAAUACUGCAAUGUGAAAAAAAAGAAAAAAGGAUUUUUUUAUAUGGAAAUCCUUUGGUAAUAAUUUUCAAAUAAGAUGGUAUUCAAUCCUUUACAAUAAUUGUUUAAAUAAUUUAAUUAUUUUUGUUGUA